UUGUUGGAGGAGGUAUAUCGCUGUGGGAGUGAGUUUUUGAGGUCUCCUAUACUCAAGCUAUGCCCAGUAUGGAACACAGCCUCCUGCUACUGCCUAUGGAUCAAGAUGUAGAGCUCUCGGCUCCUUCUCCAGCACUGUGUCUGCCCGCGUGCUGCCAAGAUGAUAAUGGACCAAACCUCUGUAACUGUAAGCCGGGACUUAUUAAAUGUUUUUCUUUACGAGUCACCAUGGUCAUUGGUGUUUCUUCACAACAAUAGCGGCCCUAAGAUGAGGAGGAGGGGGAGGAGGGAGGAGCCGCUAGACUGCUGGCUUAGCAAUUAACAGCACUUGCUGCUCCUGCAGAGGACUAGAAUUUGGUUUCCAGAAUCCACACUGGGCAUCUGACAACCUCCUGUAGUUCCGGCUCCCAGAGAGCUCCCUCUUCUGGCCUCCAUGGGUACUUGCACUCGUGCACGUGCCCACACUUGGCCAUACAUGUACACAAUUAAAAAUAAAAAUUAGAGAAAAAAAAAAAAAAA
rnacentral:lncRNA from 1 species